rnacentral:tRNA from 2 species
GCCGCCAUAACUCAGUUGGUAGAGUGUCUGGCUGUUAACCAGAAUGUCUCAGGUUCGAGUCCUGAUGGCGGCG